rnacentral:rRNA from 1 species
GGAGGGAGCUAGCGUUGUUCGGAAUUACUGGGCGUAAAGCGCACGUAGGCGGCUUUUUAAGUCAGGGGUGAAAUCCCGGAGCUCAACUCCGGAACUGCCUUUGAAACUGGGAAGCUAGAAUCUUGGAGAGGCGAGUGGAAUUCCGAGUGUAGAGGUGAAAUUCGUAGAUAUUCGGAAGAACACCAGUGGCGAAGGCGACUCGCUGGACAAGUAUUGACGCUGAGGUGCGAAAGCGUGGGGAGCAAACAGAAUUAGAUACCCUGGUAGUCCACGCCGUAAACGAUGAUAACUAGCUGUCCGGGUUCAUAGAACUUGGGUGGCGCAGCUAACGCAUUAAGUUAUCCGCCUGGGGAGUACGGUCGCAAGAUUA